rnacentral:rRNA from 1 species
CCUACGGGCGGCAGCAGUGAGGAAUAUUGGUCACUGGUCGGGAGACUGAACCAGCCAAGCCGCGUGAGGGAUGAAGGUACAGAGUAUCGUAAACCUCUUUUGUCAGGGAACAAAGGCGGGGACGUGUCCCCGGAUGAGUGUACCUUACGAAAAAGCAUCGGCUAACUCCGUGCCAGCAGCCGCGGUAAUACGGAGGAUGCGAGCUUUAUCCGGAUUGAUUGGGUUUCAAGGGUGCGCAGGCGGUCUGUUAAGUCAGCGGUCAAAGCCCGGGGCUCAACCCCGGCCCGCCGUUGAAACUGGCAGGCUCGAGUUGGAGAGAAGUAGGCGGAAUGCGCGGUGUAGCGGUGAAAUGCAUAGAUAUCGCGCAGAACUCCGAUUGCGAAGGCAGCAUGCCGGCUCCACACUGACGCUGAGGCACGAAAGCGUGGGUAUCGAACAGGAUUAGAUACCCGAGUAGUC